rnacentral:lncRNA from 10 species
UGAUACACCCACCUUGGCCUCCCAAAGUGCUGGGACUAAAGACAUCCUCCUGGUUGAGCUCUUUGGUGUCCUGAGGAUUGGCUACCCCUGGGAGGGGGAGUUUCUUUCAGGCCAGCAAGCUUUGUAAGAUGUCAAAGCAUCAUAAAUACAGAAAAUUUUAAAAACGUAAUACAUAUAGCUUCUGUUCCUUCCACCCAGAACACUCUUCUGACCCUGGACCCCGUCCCUGCUUCACCUGACUUUCUCUUUUUUUUUUUUUUGAGAUGGAGUCUCACCCUGUCUCCC